rnacentral:ribozyme from 12 species
UGGAUAUAUAUACAUUGUUCGAUCUUAUGCAUUUCGGGUAUUCGUACAUAUUAUAUAUAUAUAUAUAUAUAUAUAUAUUAUU